ensembl:miRNA xtr-mir-26-1 xtr-mir-26-1
GGCUGCUGCCUGGUUCAAGUAAUCCAGGAUAGGCUGUUUCCUCAAAGCACGGCCUACUCUUGAUUACUUGUUUCAGGAAGUAGCU